CACGGGGGGAGCAAGCGUUGUUCGGAAUCACUGGGCGUAAAGGGCGUGUAGGCGGUCAGGUAAGUGAGAUGUGAAAUGCCCCGGCUCACCCGGGGACCGGCAUCUCAUACUGCUUGGCUUGAGUACGGGAGGAGGGAGUGCGAAUUCCAGGUGUAGGCGGUGAAAUGCGUAGAUAUCUGGAGGAACACCGGGUGGCGAAGGCGGCAUCCUGGACCGAUACUGACGCUGAGGAGCGAAAGCCAGGGGAGCAAACGGG
rnacentral:rRNA from 1 species